AAGUCGUAACAAGGUUUCCGUAGGUGAACCUGCGGAAGGAUCAUUAACGAGUUAGGGUCUUCUAGGCCCGACCUCCCAACCCUGUGUUUAAUCGACCUCACGUUGCUUCGGCGAGCCCGUCCCUCAAGGACCGCCGGAGGACCAUAACCCGUCCUCUGGUCCGCGCUCGUCGGUGGCCAACCACAAACUCUUUGUUAAACAUAUCAUCUAAGUCAAAAUUUUUAAUUAAAGCAAAACUUUCAACAACGGAUCUCUUGGCUCUC
rnacentral:misc_RNA from 1 species